AGUGUACACUUUUCACAGAGUUCAGUCCUGAAGUAUGGAAAAAGAACAAACCUAAGAGCAUUUCAGUGUUAUAGGAAGAAAGAAGAAGGACUAACGAAAGACAAAGAGCUUGUGGCGUCAUAAUAUUGACAUUUACGUACAUUUCUUCAAGAUGGUGUUCAAGAUGGUGUGGAAGUGUUGUGUUCCGCAAUGUAAGUCCAUAUCUCAAAUAUCAGUACAUCACUUCCCAGAGGAUGCAUCGAAAAGGGAAUAUUAGCUAACAGCUAUAGGCAAAACUGAUUUGAUCGGUGCGCCUAAAUAAACAUUGGCCAAAUUGAGAAUCUGUACAGAACAUUUUCCAGAAAAUAUAGUACAGCCUUAUGGAUCUAGGCGACGCCUAAUCAAUAAUGCUGUACCAACAUUACAUUUGCCUUUAAAUUUUGAACAGCAUGUUGAUAUUAACGAUAACGAUAAUAUUUGUGAGCAUGUUAGUGUAGUAGAAAAUGUUCCAAACAAUUCUGCUCUUGUGCCACUGCCCAUAAACAUGUGUGAAGAGACAGCAAGAAAAAAUGAAGAAGAAAAAAUCUAUGUUUUAAGAAGAAACUUCCCUGGUAGCAGACUGACGUCAAAUAACGUACUAAUGACGUCUUAUUGACGUUAGAGACGUCAUUAAGACGUCAUUAGUACGUCAUUUGACGUCAGUUUGCUACCUGGGUUGAGGACACAAUGGAAGAUGUUACACAAUAAGAAGAGGAUUAUUUAUCACUAGCAUCAGAGGAUCAACAGACUGCGAUGUGGGAAUACAUGGGAUGACAUCACGAAGGACAUGUCAAAUAUACAGAAGACUUUCUUCCAAAUGUUGACGAUAAAUUAAAAAUGUUCUCCACAAGUAUGUUUCAUUUCAUUAUUAUUAUGUUAAUAUUAUUUCUAUAAAAAAAAAAAUCAUUUUUUCUCAUUCACUAAUGAAAUUCUAUUCACUAAUGAAAACAUCUGCACAAUGUUUUAUAUAUAAAUGAAUCUUAUUUUACUGUGUGUA